GAGGGGUGGUUCAACCAGCAAGAACUGCUAACUCUUGCAUCUGAGUAUAAAACCUCAGCCCCCUUA
rnacentral:tRNA from 1 species